rnacentral:tRNA from 1 species
AAGGCUUUAGCUUAAUUAAAGUGUCUGUUUUGCAUAUAGUUGAUGUGAGUUAAAAGCUUGCAAGUCUUA